GGGAUUUACUUUUGAAAGCAGGAAACGAGCCUGGCUUCCCCCAUGCUCUGUAUCAAUGUAUCUGGGCAUUGGAAAUCUUGAAUGAAGAAUUUCCUGGGCAUCAUCUAUGGGAGCUUGAAGCAAGUGAUGGAAGUUUUCAUAUUCUGGCAUAUCUUGGUAACCUGAUUUACGCCACUGAGCUAUGGUCUCUCCAUGAUAGAUAAGGAUCUGGAAAAAGGUGUCCAUUAGAAGAAUGCGAUCUGGUAAAAUGCUGCUGCUAUCCAGAAGAACAGGCUCUGGAGGUCCAUUGAAGGAGUAAGCAUAGAGAAUUGGCUGAACCAUGAUAAGCGACUGUGUUAGAUCCUGGCGCAUGAAAUGGUGACGGUAGUACGAGCUCUCAUCCGGACUGUUGUUAAAAACUUGCAAGAAAGGAGAUCUUCUCAAGUGAAACAUGAACUGUGGGUAAAGUGAAAAGGUUUCUGAAAAUCUGAAAGAGCUUGGAUCAUCCUUGUGAUAUUCUCCAAAUUUCUGACACAAUCGUAUAAGUUGUCUGUCCAGCCACCUAAGUACAUCAGGCCCCUCUUCUGUCUCCGCCCUAUACACUGCCAAUCUGGCCAUGAGAAUUGCUGCAGCUUCCUGGUCAAAAGAUGCUGCAAUGUUUUGAAUCUGUGUCUGUGCAUCUGCCCAGUUUCUGGCAACUGUGGUCACUCUGAUACGUCUCUGUCCACUGGAAUGCUGGUACUGAGUCACAAACUGGAUCGCACCACGUCCUCCUUGAGGAAUUGGAGCAUUGUGCUGGUUGACCACCUCAAAGUAGAGUGCAAGUGUUGUAGUAGGAUUAAGUCCACAAAUCUUCCACUGACAGGUACCUCCUGUUCCAAUCUCAUUUUCUGAGACACAAGGUCCUUUGGAGUUCAGAGAUACGCAGGGUCCAAUAGCUCCAGAAAUCUUUACUUCUCUUGAAGUCUUUAUUUCUAAUGUGCCACCAAAUCCCAUUUUAAAUUGUCCUUGCAUAUCUUUCGUGAAUACUCUCUGAAAGGUCUGUUUGAAUAAAGAUGUAUUGAAAGAAUCUCCCAUUACCAUGUAGCCACCUGUGUAGUUGGGACAGCACUUCAUCUCCAGAAGACCAGUUUGAUCCAAAGCACAUGCAUAUAUGUCAACAACGUGACCAUUUGCUGCAGCACGAUUAGCCAGGGCUUCAAAAUGCUUAGUACCCUUUUUAACAUAUUUAGCAUUGUCUUUCUCAAUGUCAUGCCACGAUCUUAUAGGCAACUUCAGCUCAUCCC
rnacentral:lncRNA from 1 species